rnacentral:rRNA from 1 species
AGAGUUUGAUCCUGGCUCAGGAUGAACGCUAGCGGCAGGCUUAACACAUGCAAGUCGAGGGGUAACAGAGAUAGCUUGCUAUCUGCUGACGACCGGCGCACGGGUGCGUAACGCGUAUAGAACCUACCUUUUACAGAGGGAUAGCCUUUAGAAAUGAAGAUUAAUAUCUCAUAGUAUUGAGUUUUGGCAUCAAGACUUAAUUAAAGAUUUAUCGGUAAAAGAUGGCUAUGCGUCCUAUUAGUUAGUUGGUAAGGUAACGGCUUACCAAGACUUCGAUAGGUAGGGGUCCUGAGAGGGAGAUCCCCCACACUGGUACUGAGACACGGACCAGACUCCUACGGGAGGCAGCAGUGAGGAAUAUUGGGCAAUGGAGGCAACUCUGACCCAGCCAUGCCGCGUGCAGGAAGACGGCCCUAUGGGUUGUAAACUGCUUUUAUACAGGAAGAAACACUGCUACGUGUAGCAGCUUGACGGUACUGUAAGAAUAAGGACCGGCUAACUCCGUGCCAGCAGCCGCGGUAAUACGGAGGGUCCGAGCGUUAUCCGGAAUCAUUGGGUUUAAAGGGUCCGCAGGCGGUCAAUUAAGUCAGAGGUGAAAUCCCAUAGCUUAACUAUGGAACUGCCUUUGAUACUGGUUGACUUGAGUCAUAUGGAAGUAGAUAGAAUGUGUAGUGUAGCGGUGAAAUGCAUAGAUAUUACACAGAAUACCGAUUGCGAAGGCAGUCUACUACGUAUGUACUGACGCUGAGGGACGAAAGCGUGGGGAGCGAACAGGAUUAGAUACCCUGGUAGUCCACGCCGUAAACGAUGGAUACUAGCUGUUCGGUCUUCGGACUGAGUGGCUAAGCGAAAGUGAUAAGUAUCCCACCUGGGGAGUACGUUCGCAAGAAUGAAACUCAAAGGAAUUGACGGGGGCCCGCACAAGCGGUGGAGCAUGUGGUUUAA